rnacentral:rRNA from 1 species
UACGAAGGGGGCUAGCGUUAUUCGGAAUCACUGGGCGUAAAGCGCACGCAGGCGGAUCGUUAAGUCAGGGGUGAAAUGCCGAGGCUCAACCUCGGAACUGCCUUUGAUACUGGCGAUCUUAGAGUCCGGGAGAGGUGAGUGGAACUCCGAGUGUAGAGGUGAAAUUCGUAGAUAUUCGGAAGAACACCAGUGGCGAAGGCGGCUCACUGGCCCGGUACUGACGCUCAGGUGCGAAAGCGUGGGGAGCAAACAGG